rnacentral:rRNA from 1 species
AGAGUUGAUCCUGGCUCAGGAUGAACGCUAGCGGCAGGCUUAACACAUGCAAGUCGAACGGUAAGGAUCACUUCGGUGAUUACACGAGUGGCGCACGGGUGCGUAACGCGUAUGCAACCUACCUUUAACAGGAGGAUAGCUCCGAGAAAUUGGGAUUAAUACUCCAUAAUAUUAUUUUAUUGCAUGAUAAAAUAAUUAAAGCUACGGCGGUUAAAGAUGGGCAUGCGUGACAUUAGCUGGUUGGUAAGGUAACGGCUUACCAAAGCGACGAUGUCUAGGGGGUCUGAGAGGAUGAUCCCCCACACUGGUACUGAGACACGGACCAGACUCCUACGGGAGGCAGCAGUGAGGAAUAUUGGUCAAUGGACGCAAGUCUGAACCAGCCAUGCCGCGUGCAGGAUUGACGGCCCUAUGGGUUGUAAACUGCUUUUAUUUGGGAAGAAAGGUCGCUACGAGUAGUGAUUUGACGGUACCAUUUGAAUAAGCACCGGCUAACUCCGUGCCAGCAGCCGCGGUAAUACGGAGGGUGCAAGCGUUAUCCGGAUUCAUUGGGUUUAAAGGGUGCGUAGGCUGAUAGAUAAGUCAGUGGUGAAAUCUUGCGGCUUAACCGUAAAACUGCCAUUGAUACUGUUUAUCUAGAGUACAUAUGAGGUAGGCGGAAUAUAGUAUGUAGCGGUGAAAUGCAUAGAUAUACUAUAGAACACCGAUUGCGAAGGCAGCUUACUAAAUUGUUACUGACGCUGAGGCACGAAAGCGUGGGGAGCGAACAGGAUUAGAUACCCUGGUAGUCCACGCAGUAAACGAUGAUUACUCGAUGUUGGCGAUACACUGUCAGCGUCUGCGCGAAAGCCUUAAGUAAUCCACCUGGGGAGUACGAUCGCCAGGUUGGAACUUCAAAGGACUCGACGGGGGCCCGCACAAAGCGGAGGAGCAUGUGGUUUAAUUCGAUGAUACGCGAGGAAC